rnacentral:rRNA from 1 species
GACGUAGGGCGCGAGCGUUGUCCGGAUUUAUUGGGCGUAAAGAGCUCGUAGGCGGUUUGUCGCGUCUGCCGUGAAAGUCCGGGGCUCAACUCCGGAUCUGCGGUGGGUACGGGCAGACUAGAGUGAUGUAGGGGAGACUGGAAUUCCUGGUGUAGCGGUGAAAUGCGUAGAUAUCGGGAGGAACAUCAGUGGCGAAGGCGGCCUUCUGGUCCAGUACUGACACUCAAGUGCGAAAGCGUGGGGAGCAAACAGG